ensembl:lncRNA
GGGAAAGUUCUGACGGAGGCGGGGUUUACCACCUGCGCUGUUCCCUUUAACUCCCACUGCAACGUGGGCUGUUGCCACAACCGCUGGUCCUGUGACGGGAGCCGCUUCGGCAGCAGCAAGUCGUCCACCUACGUGCCUGUCCAGAAGAGCCUGUCUGAAGUCAACAUAGUGAGUGCUGCUGAGAAGGACUUGAUCCACGACUACAGGCCCGUUGAGAAACCUAGAAGUCCUAGAAGCCCUGAGAGAGAGAGUCAUAUACAACCUGGAAACAAAGACCUAGCAGUUUCACACAUCUGUCUUGACCUUACCUUAGAGUUACCCCCUCCAGGCUCCAACCCUCCAGGCUCCAACCCUCCAGGCUCCAACCCUCCAGGCUCCAACCCUCCAGACUCCAACCCUCCAGGCUCCAACCCUCCAGACUCCAACCCUCCAGGCUCCAACCCUCCAGGCUCCAACCCUCCAGGCUCCAACCCUCCAGACUCCAACCCUCCAGGCUCCAACCCUCCAGGCCACAGUAGGAAUAUGAUGCUGGAACAGGCCACUGCUGAGUUUAACAGGACACUCUUCCAAGCUGAGAUGGGUCGAGGGAUGGAGGACGAUGAUGUAGAGGACAGUUUUACAUCAGCGGGUGUCUCUAAAAGGGGCGUACCAGACGGUACGACGGUAUGUGGUGAGGUCACACACGGGGUCACCAGGGAGACGAACAUUGACCUCCCGCCACGGCACGCCACAGAGGUCAGACAGAAGGAGGUGAUCUGUGACAUCACAGCUCAGAAGCUGAGUUCAGGGAUCAAACUGAGCCAGGCCCUGCCCCCAUCUGACCCUCAUCCAGGGGUCACCGUCAGGACCUUUGACCCCCCUGCCACCUCUGACCUUUCACCCCAACGCCCAGAAGUUGCGUUUAGGAACAUGCCUUCUAACCCGGCAACACGCUGCCCUGAGGUCAAACACAAAGCUGGACCCCCAACAGCCUGUUUAAGUCCACACUGCACAGGUCCAUCUCUAGUGAAUACAAGCAGCCUGCCCAGACUCACACACGGCUCCAGGACCAGAGGUGAGUGCCAGUCCGAAGAGGGACAUCAAGGCCCAAGGAGCGAGGCCUCAUUCCGUUAAGUCAUGCCCAGCGCCCCAGCGACCUGGGAGUCGCCCAACCACAACACAGGACAUCCUUAAAGCUGGAUCUGUGGGGUCAGGACUCUGUGUGCCUGGGGGGUCGGGACUCCGUGUGCCUGGGGGGUCAGGACUCCGUGGUGUAAUGAGCGACCAGCCCUGGAAGCCCCUGACUCUGGCUGCGUUACGUCCAUCUGACUCCAGGUCUAAUUACGGCGCUGUGGAGAGGAUCCUGAAGAGCUACGAGAACACUGCCUGGAGCCAGCGGUACCAGAACCAUACCCAACCCACUGAGUCCAGCCCUAACCCUGGACCCAGCCUCAGCCCUAACCCUGGUCUCAGCCCCAGCCCUAACCCUGGUCUCAACCCCAGUCCUAACCCUGGUCUCAACCCCAGUCCUAACCCUGGUCUCAACCCCAGUCCUAACCCUGGUCUCAGCCCCCGUCCUAACCCUGGUCUCAGCCCCCGUCCUAACCCUGGUCUCAGCCCCCGUCCUAACCCUGGUCUCAGCCCCAGUCCUAACCCUGGUCUCAGCCCCAGUCCUAACCCUGGUCUCAGCCCCAGCCCUAACCCUGGUCUCAACCCCGUCUCAGCCCCAGCCCUAACCCUGGUCUCAACCCCGUCUCAGCCCCAGUCCUAACCCUGGUCUCAGCCCCAGUCCUAACCCUGGUCUCAGCCCCAGCCCUAACCCUGGUCUCAGCCCCAGCCCUAACCCUGGUCUCAGCCCCCGUCUCAGCCCCAGCCCUAACCCUGGUCCCAGCCCCAGACAGGAAGAGGAACUCAUGGAUCUUCUGGAGGAGAUGAUGGAUAAGGAUUACUGGGAUCAGUCAGGCCCUGCCUCUGGACACUCCUCCCACACACACUCUCACCACAGCCAGCUGACCAGCUCCCACAGAGAGACAAGGCUAACCAUGCAGUUGGAAGCGAAAGGAGUGUAAAGUAUCAUCCAGCUCCUCAUCAGUCCAGAAGAAUUUCUCUCGUCCGGCCUGUCCAGCCAACCGCCGCCCCCCGUCACGCUGGGCUAGUUGUUCCCCCUCCACCUCUUCCUCCUCCUCCUCCUCCUCCUCCACCCCUAUAAACCAGCCCUCUUCCGGCUCCGCCCACAAACACACCUCAUUCUCCUACUCAGCCUAUCACACGGAGACAGUCAUCAUCUGACCCCUUAGCUGACCCUGUGUUUCAACCAAUAAGAUGCCUUUCGUUACUAUACGUACUCUGACAUUUCUUUUCUCAAUUCAUCCUUCCUUGAUUCCUUCACAUCGAAGGACCGAGUCGGGGGGUGGGGACGGGG